CGGCAAAGGUAACGUGCAUGUUUACCGGUAUGUCUGGAUCAUAUUGCAAUGGCACGAAGACACAUUGAAGCAUUUCAGUUUGACCCAGAAUCCGAUCCAGAUGGAGAAGCAACGGAUGAAGAAGUUGCAACUCAGCGCCUCCAGAAGGAUGUUUCCGAAUGAUGUCUUCACAAAAAACUUCAACCUGCCCCUGUCCCAGACUGUUUCCAGAAGACCAUUCUGAUUCUCCCAGUGAUCAAGUAAACCAAGGUAACACAUCCUCGUGAUUAUUGCCCUCUUGGAGUCACCGCUGUCAUCAUUUGAGACAUCUCGCAGGCACAUUAGCCAGACCUGCUGCUUCCUCUGCUGCGCCUACUAGCUCCUGGCCUCACCACCCAACCUUCGCCGUCAGCUCUCCCCCAGCUUCGGACCUGCCUACACAGUAUUCUCGGAGUACCCUGGC
ensembl:lncRNA